rnacentral:rRNA from 1 species
GAUGAACGCUGGCGGCGUGCUUAACACAUGCAAGUCGAACGCGAAAACCCCGCAAGGGGUUAGUAGAGUGGCAAACGGGUGAGUAACACGUGGGUGACCUGCCUUCGAGCGGGGAUAACGUCCCGAAAGGGACGCUAAUACCGCAUAACAUCCUGCCUUUUAAGAGGUGGAGAUCAAAGCCGGGGAUCGCAAGACCUGGCACUUGAAGAGGGGCCCGCGCCUGAUUAGCUAGUUGGUGGGGUAAUGGCUCACCAAGGCAACGAUCAGUAUCCGGCCUGAGAGGGCGGACGGACACACUGGGACUGAGACACGGCCCAGACUCCUACGGGAGGCAGCAGUGGGGAAUUGUUCGCAAUGGGCGCAAGCCUGACGACGCAACGCCGCGUGGAGGAUGAA